UAUGUCUUGACGAAGAACUGGAUGUUCUGAUGUAGCAUGAGUGUGUCAUUGUUCCUGAUGUGCUGAUUCUGCAGCGUAUCAGUGUCUGGCAAUGUUUCAGCACCACCAGGUUGAGUUCGCAUGAGUAUCAGUGAGCGUGCAGAUAUACGCAGCUUGUCAGUUGGGCAGACCAGAACAUGCAGCGUGCGGCCAUUCCUCAAACCACACUGACUGAGCUGCUUGUUGUCCUCAAGCUGUCGGCACCCAUACAUCAGGAUUUGUUCAUCCAGAGGAAUUCCCACCUUCUGUUCGAUCUCUGACUUGACAUCAGCAACACUCUGGGAUUUCUUCAAAUUGAGCUUGAUUACCUUUCCAACCGAGGGGAUACUGACAGAUAUUUGUAUCCCAUCGGUUACAUAGAGGUCGACAGAAGAGUUUGUCAUGAUGUUGUAAUCAGCGAGCCUGUUGUUGUUCUCCAAGUGAUUUCCACCAAAAAAGAGCGCUUGCUGGCUCUUGUCAAUCCCCUCUAUGGCACUGAUCUUAGACUUGAUCUGAUCAACGGUAUCAGUGGACUUCACAUCAAGUGCCACUGUUUUCACCAUCUUGACUUGGAUCUGCAAAGAGGACAGCAGAACUACUGAAUUACUGGGUAAUUUUCGAUCUUUCAAAAAUAUAAUGCGUCAAAGUUUGCAAUAAAAGAACAUCAGAACAAGAAUGAAGCUAGUGUAUAUAACAUAGAAAAAUAAUAAAAACAAAUUCAGCAGGUACCACAUGUAAACCUCAAUCUCUUUUGAUAUUAUCUAUUUUGAUUCGCAACA